rnacentral:rRNA from 1 species
ACUCAAAGGAAUUGACGGGGGCCCGCACAAGCGGUGGAGCAUGUGGUUUAAUUCGAUGCAACGCGAAGAACCUUACCUGGUCUUGACAUCCACAGAAGUUUCCAGAGAUGGGAAUGUGCCUUCGGGAACUGUGAGACAGGUGCUGCAUGGCUGUCGUCAGCUCGUGUUGUGAAAUGUUGGGUUAAGUCCCGCAACGAGCGCAACCCUUAUCCUUUGUUGCCAGCGAUUCGGUCGGGAACUCAAAGGAGACUGCCGGUGAUAAACCGGAGGAAGGUGGGGAUGACGUCAAGUCAUCAUGGCCCUUACGACCAGGGCUACACACGUGCUACAAUGGCGCAUACAAAGAGAAGCGACCUCGCGAGAGCAAGCGGACCUCAUAAAGUGCGUCGUAGUCCGGAUUGGAGUCUGCAACUCGACUCCAUGAAGUCGGAAUCGCUAGUAAUCGUGAAUCAGAAUGUCACGGUGAAUACGUUCCCGGGCCUUGCACACACCGCCCGU